rnacentral:rRNA from 1 species
GUUAUUGUCUCGAAACCCAAAGAGUUUGGCGGUAUCUCAGUCUAGUUAGAGGAGCUUGUUCGGUAAUCGAUAACCCGCGAAAAAUCUUACGUAUUUUUGUUGUCAGUUUAUAUACCGUCGUUAUUAGAUAAUACUAAAAAGUAAAUAAUUAUCUAAAUAUAUCAAAAUAUAAUAUAUCAGAUCAAGGUGUAGCUUAUAAAUACGGCUGAAUGAGCAACAAUUUAAUAAUAUAAAAACGGAUUUUAUUUUUAAAUAAAUAAUUAAAGGUGGAUUUAAUAGUAAUUG